rnacentral:rRNA from 1 species
UUGAACGCUGGCGGCAUGCCUUACACAUGCAAGUCGAACGGUAGCGGGCCUUCGGGUGCCGACGAGUGGCGAACGGGUGAGUAAUGUAUCGGAACGUACCUUUCAGUGGGGGAUAACGUAGCGAAAGUUACGCUAAUACCGCAUAUUCUGUGAGCAGGAAAGCAGGGGAUCGCAAGACCUUGCGCUGAUUGAGCGGCCGAUAUCAGAUUAGCUAGUUGGUGAGGUAAAGGCUCACCAAGGCGACGAUCUGUAGCGGGUCUGAGAGGAUGAUCCGCCACACUGGAACUGAGACACGGUCCAGACUCCUACGGGAGGCAGCAGUGGGGAAUUUUGGACAAUGGGCGCAAGCCUGAUCCAGCAAUGCCGCGUGCAGGAUGAAGGCCUUCGGGUUGUAAACUGCUUUUGUACGGAACGAAACGGCUCUUUCUAAUAAAGAGGGCUAAUGACGGUACCGUAAGAAUAAACACCGGCUAACUACGU